GGCUCAGGAUGAACGCUAGCUACAGGCUUAACACAUGCAAGUCGAGGGGAAACGACAUCGAAAGCUUGCUUUGAUGGGCGUCGACCGGCGCACGGGUGAGUAACGCGUAUCCAACCUGCCCACCACUUGGGGAUAACCUUGCGAAAGUAAGACUAAUACCCGAUGAUAUCUCUAGACGACAUCUGAAAGGGAUUAAAGAUUUAUCGGUGAUGGAUGGGGAUGCGACUGAUUAGCUUGUUGGCGGGGUAACGGCCCACCAAGGCUACGAUCAGUAGGGGUUCUGAGAGGAAGGUCCCCCACAUUGGAACUGAGACACGGUCCAAACUCCUACGGGAGGCAGCAGUGAGGAAUAUUGGUCAAUGGGCGAGAGCCUGAACCAGCCAAGUAGCGUGCGGGACGACGGCCCUAUGGGUUGUAAACCGCUUUUGAUUGGGAACAAAGAGCGCCACGUGUGGUGCGUUGCGUGUACCUUUCGAAUAAGCAUCGGCUAAUUCCGUG
rnacentral:rRNA from 1 species